CCCAAUACUACAUGUUUUUUGUUUUAUUCACGUACGUAUACAAACACACUCUUUUAACUUUUUGUAGGGGAUUAGACUUAUCGACACUGCAAUAUUCCCAUUUGGAUGGUUCUCCUAAGUUUACACAGAUCGAUAUCUAGAAAAAAUGUUUCAAAAAGGAGAGAUUCGAAUCGAAUACCCACAUAGAACGGACAAGGUCGAUAAUGGACCCACCCUCAAGCAUGUUUGGCUUAUCGUUUUGAUGAGAACUUUCACUUCAAUUUGACAUAAGUCUCUCUAAGGCAAACUUUGGAAUGCUACUUUCCUUUUUUGCAACAUCUUGUUUCAGAGAUUCUUUUGCUUUUGAAUUUUUUUUUUUUUGAUAAAAUGUGAAUAAAAAUGGUGGUUUCACCUCUUUGUCCGGAACCCAAGCAUUGUAAACAGUCUCUCUCACCGUGAAUUGAACCCGAGUGGCGGUAGUUACAACUAUAAUCCCUUUGCCAAUAGGCCAACUCAACGUUGGUAAAACUGUUUUGGGUAAACUUUUUAUAAUUACUAGACCCCACCGCAAGCGGUGCCCCAAAUCCAAGGAUUUUUUUGGAGAGUCAUAGUACCACCGCGCCGACAGAGAGUUGAACCUGUGACAUCUAGCAGUCGUCUGUGAGAAGGAGGACCACUGCAAUACAAGUCCUUCUCUUUUGCUUUAGAAUUGGAUCAACCAAAGUAAUUUAAUCUAAACUGAUACCCAAAUCCUGAGCAAAACAAAACCAUUAUACUAUAACCAAACAUAAGAUAUGAAUUCUUCCCUAACUUUCCAUAAAAUGUACAUUUGUUAACUUUUGUAGUAAAGAAUUUGUAAAUUUGGUCUGAACUGAUUACUUUUAGUUGUGUUUUUGUGUCAAAAUCAACUCCAUUCUCAAAAAGUCAAUUACGUAUGUGAGUGGAACAGUGGAAGAAGAUGGCGACAAGUGGACGGUUUAUAAUUUCUCAACGAGCCUAUAAAUACGGGAUUUAAUUUCAUCACUAGUUGUUUAAAAAUCUUUCUUCAAGCAAAUUAAAAUCUUAUUCGAAAAUGUCUUGCUGUGGAGGAAACUGUGGUUGCGGAGGUUGCAAAAUGUACCCAGACUUGAGCUUCUCCGGGGAGACCACCACCACUGAGACUGUUGUCCUCGGCGUUGCUCCGUCGAUGAACUCUCAGUACGAGGCUUCCGGCGAGACUUUCGUCGCCGAGAACGAUGCCUGCAAAUGCGGAUCUGACUGCAAGUGCAACCCUUGCACCUGCAAAUAGAUAACCACAUAAACCCCUAAGAGUCUUGCAAUAAACCUUUUAUGUUAUGUUUAAUAAUGGCUGAUUUCUCCGGUUGUUUUGCCGGCGACAGUGAGUCUUGUUCUUCUGUGUGUGUUUUUUGGUUUGGUCAUGAGACAUCUCUGUAAGCUUUAUCUCUGCGACUAUAUAUAAGCCAAAAGUAUUAUGGGUC